AUUGAACGCUGGCGGCAGGCCUAACACAUGCAAGUCGAACGGUAACAGGAAGAGGCUUGCUUCUUUGCUGACGAGUGGCGGGCGGGUGAGUAAUGUCUGGGAAACUGCCUGAUGGAGGGGGAUAACUACUGGAAACGGUAGCUAAUACCGCAUAACGUCGCAAGACCAAAGAGGGGGACCUUCGGGCCUCUUGCCAUCGGAUGUGCCCAGAUGGGAUUAGCUAGUAGGUGGGGUAACGGCUCACCUAGGCGACGAUCCCUAGCUGGUCUGAGAGGAUGACCAGCCACACUGGAACUGAGACACGGUCCAGACUCCUACGGGAGGCAGCAGUGGGGAAUAUUGCACAAUGGGCGCAAGCCUGAUGCAGCCAUGCCGCGUGUAUGAAGAAGGCCUUCGGGUUGUAAAGUACUUUCAGCGGGGAGGAAGGGAGUAAAGUUAAUACCUUUGCUCAUUGACGUUACCCGCAGAAGAAGCACCGGCUAACUCCGUG
rnacentral:rRNA from 1 species